rnacentral:lncRNA from 1 species
GUGACUGACAUCCAUGGACUGAGAAGCACGGUUAUCUCAUGGUGACGCACGCCUAUGAAGUGUGCCAUUACUUUGGGGAUUUUUAGCUUGUAGAAUAUUUUUCUUGUAGAUGAAGCAUCAGACACAUUUUUGUUCGAAAGAAGAGAAACAGUGAAAGUUGUGUCUGCUGCGAGGUCUGAGGGCCCCGGUGGCCCCAGGCCUCUGAGCUGGGGACUCAUUUAUCCCUGAGCAUCUCACGGGUGCCCUGAGUCCUGCUUUUUGGUCUGUGCCAGGGUCUUCUGGUAUCUGUGGCACGAAAGGCGUCCUUCCUUGGACCCAGGAAUCGGUGCAAUUCAUGCUGCAGCGCAUGGUGACACUGCAGGGUUUGAAAGAGGCGGGGACGGGGGCCAGAUCUGGUCGUGACGGAGCACGAGGAGUGAGGGACAGAGGCCUGAAGAAAAUGACUAGGGCAGCCCUAGCAGAGCUCUGAGGCUGGAUCUGCACGCCAAGCAGUCGGGAACCCAGCUGGGGAUGUGGAAAAGGUGCGGUGCGUGACUAGAGCCAGGCCCGUUCCCUGGGUGCCGAGCCAGGCUGUGCUCACUCUGAGCCCACAAACGCCAUGUUCUGUGCUGCAGAAGCAGAGACCGCAUGUCAUAGAUGCUCUGAGGGUCCAGUCCCGGGGCCCUUGGGUAACUUCCAUGACUCCCUCCCCACCUGGGGCCUGGGUCUUGGGAUAGGUUCCUUCUACUGUGUAACAGAUUACCCCAAACAUCAGGCAGCUAAAAACAAAAAUCUCAUGCUUGCUGUGGGCAGAAUUCACUUCCGAGGCCUUGUGUCAUUCCAUGACACAAGGCACUGGACUCCACCACAGUGAGCAGAUCUCAGGGCAAGUGUACUCAUUAGCCUUCCUGUCACUGGGCAUAUGUACCAGAUACCCACAAAUUAAGGGAGGAGAGGUUCUCUUGGCUCACGGUUUCUGAGGGUUCAGUCCAGGGUAAUCUGGCUCCAAGCAGAAAGGACCUGGUGGAGGAAAGCUGGUCACUGCAGAGAGAGAGGGAGGAGCCAGGGACAGAACACAGCCUUCCAGGUCACACCCCAGUGACCACCUCCAAACAGGUCCCGUCUCCUAACAGCAGAGUCAGCCACGAGCUCAUCCCAGGGUGAAUCCACUGAUACGUAUACUCCCUCUGUGAUCCAAUCACUUUCCCCAAACCCCACCUCGGAACACAUGAGACCUUUGUGGGACAUAUUUUAUCCAAACCAUAACAGUGAGCAGGACAGAAGCCUCAUGACUUGUAAUGACAAGACUCUCCUUGCCCUCAAGGCCUUGACCUUGGGCUCUGUCUUUGGCCUGCUUAUUGUAGUUCCAGGAUGAUUCCUGCUGAGUCUGUUUACCAGAAUUCCCCUGGUCCCUCAUGGUUCCUCCUUGUAAUUUUCUGUCCCUGACCCCUAACCUGUUCCUUGGCCAUAAAUCCCUACUGGGCCUUGUUAAAUUCAGAAUGGAGCCAGGCUCCAUGCCAUACUCUCUCUUGUCCUAGUGAAACAGUUCCUAGUUGGGCCUGUAAUCCCAACACUGUAGGAGACUGAGACAGGAAGAUCAGGAGUUUGAGAUCAGGCUGGGAAGCAUAGUAUAUUAUGGAGAAUGUGUCUCAAAGUAAAUAACAACAGCAAUAACUACUACUUCUACUUCUACUUCUCCUUCUCCUUCUCCUUCUCCUUCUACUUGUACUUCUACUCCUCCUCCUGCUGCUGCUGCAAUGUGAAAGCCCUGGUUUCAGUCUCCAGUACCGCACGCGCGCGCACACACACACA